rnacentral:rRNA from 1 species
AACGGCCAUACCAUGCUGAAUAUACCGGUUCUCGUUAGAUCACCGAAGUCAAGCAUCAUUGGGCGCGGUCAGUACUUGGGUGGGUGACCACCAGGAACAAUGCGUGCCGUU